rnacentral:lncRNA from 1 species
UCUCCAUCUCGCACACCCUUUUGCUGCUCCAACAUCACCACCGAUGUCUGCAAGCCUAGGGUCAGAAAUGGACAGUUUUCCCUUUCUCUCUUCUACUUUUCUCUCGCACGCCCAGGGUCAGAAAUCGACGGCUUCAUCUCUGAAGUCUUCCUCACUGCAUGGUUCAACGGCAAGGUUCUAGGGAGUUCUCCUUGUUUGGCUUACCUUCUCAUCUUGUUAAUUUUCUUUUGAGCACUGAUUAUCAGCUGUAGAUUUCGUUUGGUUGUUGAGAAAACAACCAAGGAAAAUUCGAACUGAAUACUUAGGAAUUUGAAUCGGAACUGAUUUUCAGUGCUUGAUUUUUCCUUUUUGAUAUAUGAAUAAAAUUAUUUUUCCUUUUUCAUGAUUGUUCCCAAUCUAGAUUUUUGAUUGCCUGAGUUAUUUCCUACUCUCCAGAUAUCAUCUACACUUCAAUUAUCUAGAUUUCUAAUUUUGAUUCUUUUAAAAUCAAAUCUGAGUUUUUUUUUUUUUGGUCUUAAUAACAAGGUCAUUGCAACCCCUCAACCAUUGAACUGGAAAGUCCUCCUCUCACAAUUUCCUUCAUAUGCUACCUUUCUGUUAGGUAUGAUGACUAUUUGCUCUGUAUGAUUUGAGUUUUGUUUUGGAAAUAUUUAUUUGGCCAUAUAUGAUUUAUAAACUAUUUUCUUCUCUGUUUUGUAUGUGUGUGUGUGUGUGUAUGCAUAUAUUUAUAUAUGCAGGUUGUGUAUUCCUUUGUAAUGUGUUCAGUAUGCGGGUAGGUUAUCGUUCUUGUAUUUGAUAUGAGUGUCCUGUUGUCCAUUUGAUGUGGACUUUGUGUCAAAUUUGAGAUUAUUCACUUGCACACUUACCCAGUAGUUAUUUCAUUUGCUAUGUUUAAUGCUUUGAGUCUGAUUCAUUGUUUUCGAAGUCUUGGAAAUCCUUUCAAAUCUCUUCCAGCCACUUCUUUUUCUUUUUUAACAAACCAUUUCGGCUUCAUGUGAUGAUCACUAGUUGCUUGGAUUUUAUGAAAGGUAAUUCCAUUAGCUUCUAGGAUAAAGUUUUGUUGAUUUGAAAUGGUUUUAUGAUCAAUUAGGGCAUAUAUAAUUAAGAGUUGUAAAGAAUAAUCAUUUGUUAUUAAUUACUACACGAGAGGCAUGUGUUAAGCCUAAUUUUAUUCACUGUACUUGAUCUGACUCUAUAAAAUGGAUGUGUUGUUGAUUACAAUAUUACUUUGAACAAACUGGGGAAAAUAAUGUUUUGUUUUAUGAUGAUUAGUGAAACUUAGAGGGCGAAGGCAUAUACUAUUUUGAGUUUGAAGACUAAUUUGGACUCAAGCCCUCCAAAAAUAUAAUGUCUAGCAGAUUCUGUUUUCUUUUUGCAGUAGGGUGUUUGAAAUACUUGCUUAAGAG